rnacentral:rRNA from 1 species
GAUGAACGCUGGCGGCGUGCCUAAUACAUGCAAGUCGAGCGAACGGACGAGAAGCUUGCUUCUCUGAUGUUAGCGGCGGACGGGUGAGUAACACGUGGAUAACCUACCUAUAAGACUGGGAUAACUUCGGGAAACCGGAGCUAAUACCGGAUGAUAUUUUGAACCGCAUGGUUCAAAAGUGAAAGACGGUCUUGCUGUCACUUAUAGAUGGAUCCGCGCUGCAUUAGCUAGUUGGUAAGGUAACGGCUUACCAAGGCAACGAUGCAUAGCCGACCUGAGAGGGUGAUCGGCCACAAUGGAACUGAGACACGGUCCAGACUACUACGGGAGGCAGCAGUAGGGAAGCGUCCGCAAUGGGCGAGAGCCUUACGGAGCAACGAAGCGUGAGUGAUGAAGGUCUUCGGAUCGUAAACCUCUGUUAUUAGGGAAGAACAUAUGUGUAAGUAACUAUGCACAACUUGACGGUACCUAAUCAGAAGGCCACGGCUAACUACGUG